GGGGGCGACAGGCUUCGACAGGGGCUUGUAUAGAUCUUUGGAUGCACGCCGGGCUUUUUGUAGGUGAGCUCGUUAACAAAACUUACAAAACACAAAUGCUAAUCAAGAAUUAGCUCUUGCUGCCUAGUUAACUCUAGCUCCAGCAAUGUCUUACGCGAAGUCAGCUUGGAGCGACGCGAUAAGGCAUAACUCAGUCUAAGCUAGGGCACGUCCACCACCUGCGGGCGCGUCCGAAUCGUUAGUCGGGUUAGUUUUCUGCAAGGUUCGCUGGUUUGCUUACUUGCUGGAGAUGAAAUUUGAGCAAACCAGCUAAGCGUGUAGAUUUCACUGGUCGCAACCUUUGGAUGUGGGUUCGAUUCCCACCGCCUCCACCA
rnacentral:tmRNA from 1 species